rnacentral:lncRNA from 1 species
UUUUGUCAUAAGGUACAGACUCCAUAAUAAAACAUGGCGAAACAAAUUGUUGCUAUUCUAUUUUAUACUUAUUUUUCUGUGAUUCCAAAUACCGAAUUGAACUUCGUUUGUAAAGUCUGUCAGUCAUUCCAGCAAGUUGACUUAGUGCUCAGUCGCUUUCCAUCCAUUGGAUCCUUAUGCUGUCAAAAGCCUGAAACUCUUAUUUGAAGCCCACAUACAGUGCAACUAGACAAAUGUGCCAAGAUAAGGUAUCCUUUCUUAUGGACCAUAGGAUCUUUAUUUCCGAAUCUUAUAUGUAACCUGUGACUGCAUGUUUGUUAUGACGACCGCUUCUACAUCCAUUUAGAAGGCAACCCUGAGAGAUAGUUUCAGUGACAUGAAGAGUGUGAAGUGCCUGCCAUGCGCUUGUACAUUUACAAGACCUAUUUGAUGAAAGUCAAAUGCCUUACUGAAUUUGUCUCCCAAAAGCAUU